AGAGUUUGAUCCUGGCUCAGAUUGAACGCUGGCGGCAGGCCUAACACAUGCAAGUCGAACGGUAGCACAGAGGAGCUUGCUCCUUGGGUGACGAGUGGCGGACGGGUGAGUAAUGUCUGGGAAACUGCCCGAUGGAGGGGGAUAACUACUGGAAACGGUAGCUAAUACCGCAUAACGUCGUAAGACCAAAGAGGGGGACCUUCGGGCCUCUUGCCAUCGGAUGUGCCCAGAUGGGAUUAGCUAGUAGGUGGGGUAACGGCUCACCUAGGCGACGAUCCCUAGCUGGUCUGAGAGGAUGACCAGCCACACUGGAACUGAGACACGGUCCAGACUCCUACGGGAGGCAGCAGUGGGGAAUAUUGCACAAUGGGCGCAAGCCUGAUGCAGCCAUGCCGCGUGUAUGAAGAAGGCCUUCGGGUUGUAAAGUACUUUCAGCGAGGAGGAAGGCAUUGUGGUUAAUAACCGCAGUGAUUGACGUUACUCGCAGAAGAAGCACCGGCUAACUCCGUGCCAGCAGCCGCGGUAA
rnacentral:rRNA from 1 species